UACAGAGGGGGCAAGCGUUGUUCGGAAUUACUGGGCGUAAAGGGCGCGUAGGCGGCCUUCUAAGUCGAACGUGAAAUCCCUGGGCUCAACCCAGGAACUGCGUCCGAUACUGGAAGGCUUGAAUCCGGGAGAGGGAUGCGGAAUUCCAGGUGUAGCGGUGAAAUGCGUAGAUAUCUGGAGGAACACCGGUGGCGAAGGCGGCAUCCUGGACCGGUAUUGACGCUGAGGCGCGAAAGCCAGGGGAGCGAACAGG
rnacentral:rRNA from 1 species